AGUGAACGCUGGCGGUAGGCCUAACACAUGCAAGUCGAACGGCAGCACAGUAAGCGCUUGCUCUUACGGGUGGCGAGUGGCGGACGGGUGAGGAAGACAACGGAAUCUACUUUUUCGUGGGGGAUAACGUAGGGAAACUUACGCUAAUACCGCAUAAGACCUACGGGUGAAAGCAGGGGAUCUUCGGACCUUGCGCGAUUGAAUGGGCCGAUGUCGGAUUAGCUAGUUGGCGGGGUAAAGGCCCACCAAGGCGACGAUCCGUAGCUGGUCUGAGAGGAUGGUCAGCCACACUGGAACUGAGACACGGUCCAGACUCCUACGGGAGGCAGCAGUGGGGAAUAUUGGACAAUGGGCGCAAGCCUGAUCCAGCCAUACCGCGUGGGUGAAGAAGGCCUUCGGGUUGUAAAGCCCUUUUGUUGGGAAAGAAAAGCAGCAGGUUAAUACCCCGCUGUUCUGACGGUACCCAAAGAAUAAGCACCGGCUAACUUCGUG
rnacentral:rRNA from 1 species